rnacentral:lncRNA from 1 species
CGCUAACUAUACACAGGAUUUAUGCGUGUACAAUGUUUUGAUGUUUUGUACUCAGGUGAAUACACUCUUUGUGUUUUUUAUGUUACUCUGAGUUUGUAUCAACGCCCGCCAGACUGAAAACUUUUGCCUGGCCACAGUGGUAUCCCAAAAGUCGCGAAUUCGAUACCGAUGCCGUACCUAUAUAGGCAAAAAUGUUUCAGCCUGUCUGCGUGGAUGCACACUCAGAGUAACAAAAAAACUUGCGCCAACUAUAAGUCAAUGCGAUACAGUAUUGUCAUUUACUGUUAGUAUUUUAAUUAACACGUGUAAAUAAUACAACAAGGAACUCCGUUAUACUGUACAUUUCGCCCUCCCCCCUGCUAACGUAAUAAUACUAUCACGCACAAUAUAUAUAUAUAUAUAUAUAUAUAUAUAUAUAUAUA